GAAUUUUCUUUUGCCUUUCUGUUUGCAUUUUCUUUAAAGCUGAAUUAGGAGUCAAAAUCAGGGUGCUGUCUUUGACUGCAUAGGUUUCACACUACACAACUCUGGGAGGUCACCAUUCAUAGAGACCACAAUGGGACUCAACAGCCCUGGUUAUGAUGCUCUGGUGCUCUUAGAUGCUGUUUAAACAUUACAUUAAAAG
rnacentral:lncRNA from 1 species